CUGUUAUUCGCCGUUUUUUUAUGUACAUGAAGGUGCAAGCGUGGUACUCGGUAAUGUCGCGAAUACUUUAUGCGGCUGUAGGCGUAUUAAACGAACAGGAGAGUACUUUCAUGCUGCUGUGUUAAAUAGCAGAGACAAGCUGUACGCUGCUUCACAUGUUCUCUCUGCAAAGAAGUGGCCGGCCUGGACGUUCGGGCGACUGCCGUUCGCAGCAGGGAAAACAACUGCAUGAAGUCAUCCUGCACGGCUGCAAGCCGGUUCUGGACGAAGCGCGCUUCACCAGCUGGCAUCCCGGACUGCUACCCUCAACACAGCAUGCGGAAGCCAUACAAGCCAGCCAUCGACAGCGCACCUUGGGCACGACAUCGCAUCGGGGAGGGCACGCUCACGCUGGUUCAUAUUACAGAUCUGACCGCCCCCUUGGUCCGCAGCUGCUGAGGGCUCAACGCCAUUGGUUGAUUGAAGGAGUCAUCAGGGAGGCAGGGGCCGAAUACUGC